CAAGUUAUUGAUGGAGGAGCAAAAGGUGUACAUUGAUCAGCUGAAUAAACUGAAAUACCAAAUGUCAUUUGAGGCACUUCAGCAGGUCCCACAGUUUCAAGGCAGAAUUCUGAUCUUGUUGUGCAACUUAAGGGCUGAGUUGCAUACUUGCAUGCGUUGAGGAGUUAAUAACAACAGAAUGUUUACUCGAGAAUCAAUUGGAGGACUUAGAUCCUGUAGAAGCUGUGUCUAUUAUGUCUGCAUUCGUUCUCCAAGAGUGGAAUGCAUCAGAACGAUCUCUCAGUCUCAGUCUGAAACUGCUGGUUGCCAAAAGGAGGCUCUAUGGCACAUCAAUCAGGUUAGGACAACUCCAAGAAAGGCAUGAGGUGCCCGUCGAUCCUAAGGAGUAUUCACGUGAUAAUUUGAAGGUUCGUCUUGUUCAGGCUGUCAAUGAAUGGGCAAAGGGAACGCUGGCCUUUCGCAGACAUUUUCUGAACUGACAUAUGUGUCUUAAGGGCUGAUUGUGAGGACACUCGUGCGUCUGGAUAAAACAUGCAGUACCCACAGAUGGAUCAACUUAUGGAAGUUAAGCUAUGGGUGGCUACACAGCCUACUACUCGUCACUGAACAGCAGCAUGAAUUAAUAAUCGUAUGCUUUCGGCGCUAUGGCAUGUAGCAUGUGGCUAUCAUGCGCUUGGACGCCCGACCUUUUGUUGCAGCCGAUGCUCUCCGGGUGAAAACCCAAGUUCCUAUCUCGGUUGGAGCGGACGUCGGCGGCGGUCUCGUCACUUCUCCCUUGGGGGCGUCGUCUUGGAGAGCC